GGGGCUGUUCUCUGUGCCCACCAC
rnacentral:piRNA from 1 species